UAAGGAAUAUUGGUCAAUGGACGCAAGUCUGAACCAGCCAUGCCGCGUGAAGGAUGAAGGUCCUCUGGAUUGUAAACUUCUUUUAUCUGGGACGAAAACGGGAUUUUUAUCUCAAUUGACGGUACCAGAGGAAUAAGCACCGGCUAACUCCGUGCCAGCAGCCGCGGUAAUACGGAGGGUGCGAGCGUUAUCCGGAUUUACUGGGUUUAAAGGGUGCGUAGGUGGGCUUAUAAGUCAGUGGUGAAAUCUCCGAGCUUAACUUGGAAACUGCCGUUGAUACUAUAGGUCUUGAAUUAUCUGGAGGUCAGCGGAAUAUGGCAUGUAGCGGUGAAAUGCUUAGAUAUGACAUAGAACACCAAUUGCGAAGGCAGCUUACUACAUAUAAAUUGACGCUGAGGCACGAAAGCGUGGGGAUCAAACG
rnacentral:rRNA from 1 species